CAUUUAAAUUUGAAAUCCAUCAUGCAUUUCUUUCCUUGAUCCAGUUUGGCAGACAAGCAUGACAAUGAGCUAUCUGUGACAUUUUCUGCAAUAUGUUAAGAAAGAUGUUAACAUAGCAAGUAGCACUUGCUCUGUCUUUGUCAAAGAAACUAAGAAGCCACCCAGAACAGUGUCUGGGACUCUGCUUGUUAGGAGAAUAUCAUAGAGAUGCAAAAAGGCACAGCGUUCUGGACUUGACACGCAUCAUGGUGAUUAGCAUUAGCCAUUGUUCUAGGCUAGUAGUAAGGUUUUCUUUGUUUACUUUUGGGAUUGAGAUUCAGUUGCAAAGUAGCUUGUCUGAAAUGCUGAGGUAUUGCUUUUUAAACAUCAGGAAGUUUGAGUAUAUCUGAUUGGGGCAGAAAAUUAGGCUGAAAACUCCCAUAGAACACAUGUUGAUCAUAUUCAGAUGCUACAAAAAUACAGAUUGACCAUGUGCCAGGAAGGUGCUGCUUGUGCUAAGGAUACUGGUGAUCAUGCAGUAGCUGGUAUUUCUAUAAAAUGAAGGGAGGAGUGGAAAAGAAGAAUGACAGGUCCUGGUGAAACUGCUGGCUGCUGCAGGAGGAGUUUCCUUUUGUGGUAUAAAAGGGAGAAAAUGGCUUGGAAGGAGAUAUUUCCUUGCCCCUUUUUGAUCCCAAGUCUUGCAUCUGAAUUUUAAUGGGAUGUUUAAAUACUACACUGUACUGGGGCUCUGAAAAGCCUUGAUUAAGUCUACUUUCUCUUCAGGCAGUCGCAUAGCAUCUGCACCGCCUUGUACCUCUGACAUUUUCUUGAAGGUCAGGAAGAGCACUUGCUCUAGACAGUUUCUUUUCUUAGUGUAGGUGACCCCAUUAGCUACACAGGGUUUGGCUCCCAGCAGAUACAGCAUAAUGCAGAUUUGCUGACAUAGCAUGGUGCCCUUAACAGACUUACACAGAAGAUUGUAUAGUUUGGAGUGUAAGUAAGGCCUCUGUAGGCAGAAAGGCUGGAAUUACUUGCCAUCACCUAACUUCUGGCAGUCCAUUCCGCUUUACUUGUUUUGACUUACUGAACAUAGUUCUGGUCCCUUGUGGAAAUGCCCUACACCAGAGGUGUUCAAACUUCUGGCUUCACAGACCAGAUGAGUGGUGUGAGGUCAGUUCAUAGGGCAGACGCUGCCUACCGUCCUGAACCAUCUGUCCACCAUCCCGAUCUAGUGCGCAAGACCAUGUUAUCUAGCUUGUAGAGCUUCCCGUGGGUC